UCUCCGUUGGUGAACCAGCGGAGGGAUCAUUACAGGGUUGCAAAACUCCCAAACCAUUGUGAACGUUACCUAUCCCGUUGCUUCGGCGGGCGGCCCGGGCCCCGCGCCCGGCGCCCCCCGGCCCCCCGUGGGCGCCCGCCGGAGGUAAACCAAACCCUUGAAUUGCAUGGCCUCUCUGAGUCUUCUGUACUGAAUAAGUCAAAACUUUCAACAACGGAUCUCUUGGUUCUCGCAUCGAGAAGAACGCAGC
rnacentral:misc_RNA from 1 species